AGUGAACGCUGGCGGUAGGCCUAACACAUGCAAGUCGAACGGCAGCACAGUAAGAGCUUGCUCUUACGGGUGGCGAGUGGCGGACGGGUGAGGAAUACAUCGGAAUCUACUUUUUCGUGGGGGAUAACGUAGGGUAACUUACUCUAAUACCUCAUACGACCUACGGGUGAAAGCAGGGGAUCUUCGGACCUUGCGCGCUUGUAUGAGCCGAUGUCGGAUUAGCUAGUUGGCGGGGUAAAGGCCCACCAAGGCGACGAUCCGUAGCUGGUCUGAGAGGAUGAUCAGCCACACUGGAACUGAGACACGGUCCAGACUCCUACGGGAGGCAGCAGUGGGGAAUAUUGGACAAUGGGCGCAAGCCUGAUCCAGCCAUACCGCGUGGGUGAAGAAGGCCUUCGGGUUGUAAAGCCAUUUUGUUGGGAAAGAAAAGCAGCAGGUUAAUACCCCGCUGUUCUGACGGUACCCAAAGAAUAAGCACCGGCUAACUUCGUG
rnacentral:rRNA from 1 species